rnacentral:rRNA from 1 species
AGGGUACCCGGAGAAAAAGCAUCGGCUAACUCCGUGCCAGCCGCCGCGGUAAUACGGAGGAUGCGAGCGUUAUCCGGAUUCAUUUGGUUUAAAGGGUGCGCAGGCGGGCCUUUAAGCCGGCGGUGAAAUCGCGGGGCUCAACCCCGCCGAGCCGUCGGAACUGGGGGCCUUGAGUGCGGCGGAGGCAUGCGGAAUGCGCGGUGUAGCGGUGAAAUGCAUAGAUAUCACGCAGAACCCCGAUUGCGAAGGCAGCCUUCCGGCGCCCUACUGACGCUGAGGCACGAAAGUGCGGGGAUCGAACAGG